CACGCAGGCGGUGCGGCGCGUUUCGCGUGACAGCGGGUGGCUUAACUGCCCGAGGAUGCGAAAGACGGCGGCACUUGAGGGCCAGAGAGGGACACGGAAUUCCGGGUGGAGUGGUGAAAUGCGUAGAGAUCCGGAGGAACACCGAAGGCGAAGGCAGUGUCCUGGCUGGUGACUGACGCUGAGGUGCGAAAGCUAGGGGAGCGAACG
rnacentral:rRNA from 1 species